GUGUAUCAAAUACUUGUUCUCCCCACUGUAUAUGAAAUACAAAUGGUAUAGAGAGAAAUAGUCGACGCAUCAUAAUUCCUAUAGUAACUACAACCUAAAACUUGUUAACUGGAAAUAUUGAAGAACUGGGAAUAUUGAACCACCAGCUUUCAUAUGUUCUCAUGUUCUGAGCAAGGAACGUAAACAUUCGCUUUUUUACAGGCACAUAUUGCAGUUUUACUUUCUUCUCCAACACUUGUGUUUUUGCAUUAUUUAAACCAAAUUGAACAUGUUCAUAAUUUUUUUGAGACUAAAUAGAUUUUAUUUAUGUAUUAUAUUAUGUUCAAAUAAAGUGUUGUUGUAAUUGUCAUUAUUACAAAUAUAUCAAAAAAUUGGACAAUUGUUUAUAUUUUUUAUCGAGAUCAGCUUUUUUUUGGUUCUCCAAUAAUCGGUAUCGGUAUCGGCGUUGAAAAAGCAUAAUCGGACGAUCUCUACUACAUAGAACCAUGACUACAUGGAACUCUGUUCCACAUCAAGUAACUGAUGCAAGCAGAAAAAUGUCAUUUAAACAACAGAUAAAAAAAACACCUUAUGGAAUAGCAGGGACUGUGAAGCAACACAAACAGACACAUGCAUACACACACACACGAUAACAUAUGCACUAUACACACACAUACACAUGGAUUUAGUACUGUAGAUAUGUGGUGGUGGUGUAGGGGCCUGAGGGCACACAGUGUGUUGUGAAUGUAUUGUAAUGUUUAAAAGAUUGUAUAAACUGCCUUAAUUUUCCUGGGCCACAGGAAUGCUUGACCCCAGCCUUGGCAGCAGCUAAUGGGGAUCCAUUAUGAAUUAUGCUUCGCCCAAGCAGUGAUACAAACACUAUUUUUCUAUGGAUGACCUCAAUGUUUAUAAACAAGAUCCGUUGACCUUGCAGAGUAAAUGAAACCUCUCUGGUCCAUAGGAGCAUUCUGUGUAUGCCCCUCAAAUGGCACCCUAUUCCCUAUUUAGACUAGUGCACUACUUUUGACCAAAGCUGCAUGGGCCCUGGUCGGAAGUUGUGCACUAAAUAGGGAGCCAUUUUGGAGAAAAGCUCAAUUGCAUGUGUCCCAGUGAGGGAACUCCAAGUACAUAAGUAAUUGUAACCACUAAACUGCAGUGAUAGUCAGAUUGUGUCAAAGUCAGUUGGCGAUAGGCGAGCUGCCAACAAUGACGGACGGCAUUUAACACUGAGGAGAUGUCACUCUGGACUGGAGGCAGAUUUAAAAAGCACAAAGAAAAUGGGGAUAUUAGAGCUAUUGAACCCUGAACCCAACAUUGCCAAAUGCAGGUCAUGUAUAAUUCCACAGAACCUUUCCCUAUCUCUCCUCACUUUUUAGGGAGACAAUUCCAAACAAAAAUCUCCUACUCUUGCUCCAAAACCUGUCACAAAGUGUCAUUCUAUGACCGUUCAUAAGAGACUGCCAUCCACUUUCUUUUGUCAUAAACCAAUAAAAUAUAGGUGCAUAAAGAAUAAUACAAAUAUUACUUUAUUCAACUACUGAGACUACCAGGUUAUUACUUUAGACAUGGCCACUUAUUAAUAACUUACUAGUAGUUCCUCUCUAAUGCUCCGUGUACACUAGUGGGCGGUGAAACGCCGCUCUUAUUAAUUUGCAAUGGUAGGGAAGCGGAGAGGGCGGGGGACCGUUUGGCGGUGCGAACAUGGCGUGGGAGGCGGUGAAAAAGUUCAGCAUUUCCCAACUUUACAGCUCGUGUACACUAGCAUGCGAUAAAUUGCCACGUGCCACUUAGGUCGCCCAGUGUGGCUCGCUUAUGGGCGUGCUGGCAGCAUAUGGCAGCACAUUUGAUUGUGUGUCAAGAAUUUAGCAUAGCAAGUUUGUAUGAAGGUCUGGUUAUUAAAUGGGUAAAUAGUAUAACACAUUCUCUAUUUCAAUAAUUUAUUCACAGCUAAAUAGUAAUGUGCUCUAAAAUGCUCUAGUGACGAACAAACUUUGCUGCCCUGUUUCCAAUUGUCCACAUGGCUGGGAGAACCUAUUCAAGUAAGUAAAUACAUUUGGAAAAAAUGAGUAUUUUUUUUUAUUAUUAGCUAUCUACUUACAGUGCAGGCUAACUCAAAUGAGCUGCUAACGUAGCUAGCUAUCUAGCCAACUUUGCAUACUGUAUAGAUGGCUAGUGACGUGGAAAUUCUUACACAGGGACACUCAAAGACAAUCUUAAAUGAAUCAUUGUUUAUUGUCAGCGUGCUGUAGAGGUUCCAACCAACUCAAUGCACCUUAGUACACAUCAGGAGCUCUCCCUGGCCAGACCCAGCAGUUCUCUUAUAUACGACUAUGCACAGAAACGUUAUUGCAUGAUUUGGAAUAAUUAAUUAAUAAUUACCAUUUUGUUUCAUUCAUGUGACCAACCAAACUGUUUCAGAACAUGUGACAGACCAACACCUCACGAGGCUUCUCUUUAUGCUGAGACCUUGAAACUGAGAGAGAUUUUGUUUGUUCACAAAACACGGUCUCGGCGUACUGCCAAAUUGCAGCUACUGAUAAGUGAGGAUUUGUACAGUCAGCCACUUGCAUGAACACAGAAAUUGGUUUAUAGAACAGCACAUGAAUAGAACACAUAAAUUAGUUAAAGAAAACCACAAACAUUAAAAUUCCCAUUACACUAGCUAAGUGAAUGAAAUAUCACCAGCUACCUAACUUCAUAUUAGCUCAUAAACUAACUAAAAAACGAACUCCAAAUGCAUUUGUAGGUAGCUAGCUAACAGCCAUGGAGGAGGGUCAAAGGAUAGCAGCCCCAACUGUCAAAGUGAGAGAAUAGGCUAUUCUAGAUAGGGCAGGUACUUUUGUGUAGUUCCAGUCCCUAGAAGUGAGGACGGAGAUAACAGUAAAAUAAUAUUCAGUGCGGUCUAAUUUGAGUAUAAUGAAGUCUGUUUCUUGUGAGGUUUUCUGUCUUUAGAUACAGAGAGCUGUGAAAGCCUGUCUGCAGAUGAAGUCCCAAUGAAGAGCAAUGGUUCUCAGUCCUGGUCCUGGGGACUCAAAGGGGUGCACAUUUUUGUUUUUGCCUUAGCACUACACAGCUGAUUCAAAUGAUCAAGCUUUAAGUGGUAUUUAUGUAUUCAUUUGUGAUGCUAUCCUUGAUAUGAUCCUGCUAUUGUCACAUGCUACACAUGCACAUGUGUGUGCACAUGCAUCUGCCUAUCCAAUGUUAUCAUGAUUUGUUAUAAGGGAUAUUAUACUUUAGUAAUCCACAAUGAUCUGGUGAUGUAAAACUCUAAAAAUGACAUUGUCUUCCAUAUUCCUAUAGAUACCUUGUAACUGGAGAUACCUUCAAAACAUUUUCCUACAGUUACCAUGUAGGGCACUGAAAGGUUGGGUGACCAUGGCCAUCUGGGACUGCCUCCAAGGGGAAUUCAGGCAUGUGAAUGCUACCUGUGUCCUGCAUAACUUCAUGAGUAUGGACACGAGGACCAUGAGGGGAUCUGCAGCUCACCACCGUGUGCCAGAGGAGAGGUCUGCUGCUCUGCAGGACGUUUCAAGGAUGGGGGCCAACAACACAGCACUGGAGGCAAUCCGUGUGGGGUAGAUCUUCACCUCCUACUUCUUCAAAGAGGGUGCUGUUCCCUGGAAACAUCAUAGACUACACUAUGCACAACCAAAUGCUCUUUUAAGAGCCAUAUACAUUGCAAUAAGAGUAUUAUUUCAUUUACUUAGCUAUGUCAACUGCAGUUAUUAAAGUCCCAGUUUCUCUCCUUUUGAUUUCUACUUCUCAGGUGAGGGUGCUGUUCUGGUAAAGGUGAUGUCUGUACAAAAAAAACAGGGUCUUUUAAGAGUCACCCAUAUUGAAAACAUUUAGAACAGUUUGACACCCUAUAACCCACACCUACACACUUGUGUAUAAAUCUGAUUGAUGGAUUGUGCAGUAAGCAGGCUCAGGUGCAUAACUGUGGCUCCUUCCACCUUCAAAGGAUAGGCAAGAGGACCAACCAUGGAGAAUAGUAAGACACUUCAUUUUUUAUAUUUAUAUAACUAUGCUAUAUUGUUUGUCCUUGUGUCUGUGCAUGUUUUUCAGUAUAAAGUACUCUGCAGCCACUUAUCGUGGACACCAGGUGAGACCACACACACAGAUUCCUGUUGAACACUAUCUCUUUAACUACCUUAUUUUGUCAAUAACAGUCUCUCUCCUUCACUUCAUCCCUCUCCUCCCUUCUCUCUAAAUCCUCUAGGUUAUAUCAGCUAUGUUGGUGAACCCCACCCGCAUCUGAACUGGUUACAUAGAGGGCACAGCAUGAUCAGAGAAGCCAACUCCCAGUCCCGUCAUCGCCAUCUCACCCGCUCUUAAGAUAACCUUCGGGCCAACUGGGGCCCAAGGCUGUUAGGAGACACUGCUUGAGACACUAUUACAGUAUGUAAUUGUGAUGAACUCAGAGAACAUUAGGGUAUCACUAAUUCAUCAAUCAUAUGCUGUCUUCCCUGUUCCUUUUGACUCUGCUCUUACCUUUUUCCCUUUCUUUCUUUUACACUCUCACACCUCCUCUUUCUUCCUCUGUUUUUAUAAUGAACAGCAGAUGUGCAUUGAAGUACAGAUUGAACUUGUAUUUGUAAUAUCAUAUUAUAAUUAUAAUAUUGAUAAUGCAUAUAUUAUGUAUUUAGAACACUUGGAUAAUGAACUUCUUUCAAUAAAGUGUUUCACAUUCUCUA